rnacentral:lncRNA from 1 species
ACCUUUCACAAGAGGCUAUCAUUGGCAGUUCACCACUUGCCAUCACCGAAGAUUAAAAAAUGUAGCAAAAGGUUUUUGUAUGUAUAUCAUGGAAGGAUUUUGCAAAACGAGGUGUUCGCUUGACUAACCAACUGCACACAUAUAAAAAUUCAAGAGUGCCUCUAUAUCAUGUUUGGAGCUUGCAACUGUUUUACUUUCUGAUGUACACUUUUCUUGAGUUGUCUUGUCGGAAUGGAAUGCAUGAAGCAGCUACAAUGAUGUUUUAAACAUUUAAGUAACAAUUAGUCUCUGACAAUUCCGAGACUGAAUAAUCGUAAUAUUAUACCAAGUUUACAUUACAUGUAUACAGUAUACACUGGAAUUUGUGUGAGUAUUAUAAUAUCAAAGACGAAUUCUACAGUUUUCUUUUCUUUUAUUUCUUUUCUCAUGAUUUUUUUUUUCACAUAUAUAGGCCUCAUCCAACUUAUUCUGUAUAACAUAUAGACACAUAAGUAAUCAGUUUUUUUUCUAAACAUAUUGCAAUUUUGUGUUUAGUAAAUUUUUUUGAAAAACUCGUUAACUUCAAAAGUUUCACACUGACUUCUACGUAUAGAUCCUAAUUAAUCAGAAAAAAUGCCAAAAAAUGCAGAAAUGCUCUGUAAAAGCAUUCUUCCGUAUAUGUACAUUAAGAUAAAUGAUAUUCGCACGAGUUAAGAAUGCAUUUUAUUAAAUGCGCUGCCACAAACAUAUCUAGAAAAAGAACAUUUAUUUAGGGUAUAUAAGAUCCAAAUUUCGUCCUAGUAUUUAAAAUAUGAACAACUACUUCACAAGUUAUUGUAAACAUAAUAUUAAUGAGUUUAUGUGUAUUUACAGUACUAUGUAUUAGGCACUUUAUACAUAGACCUGUAUAGAUAAAUAAAGUUUGUGUGUACUACCACUUAAAAACUGACUGUUUUGUUAACAAAUAACUGUUACUGGCAGUUAAGCUCUAUAUGCAGACAUAAUAAAGUUAAAUAUAUUUAAUGAGGAUUUUAUAAUUUCAAGUAAAUAUCGAAAGUUAAAAUAUUUUAGUGAAAGAUGGCAAUUUGUUAUCAUUAAUUGUUUGAUGCCUUUCUGUUUACAUUUUGAUUUAAACAGUUUUAAGUAGGUAAUUUAUUUCUUUAUCUUUUGAUGGGACUGUAUAGAGCGUUUAUGUCAAUUUUCCACCUAGUAACAUGUUUAUAUUCUUAUGUAUCUUCUUUGGAAUAUCUUUAACCAGAAUAAUGGUGUUUUGAUGAUUGUGUUUCUGGAAUAUCUUACAUAACCUUUUUUAUGCUAUAUAGAUAACUGUUUUGAGAUUAAAACUAUAAACCUCUGACCCUAAAAUCUUCAACGAAAGAAAGACAUUAAAUACAGUCUAGAAAUUGAUUUCUAAGUCAUUGAAAGAACAAACAAUGAUUUUGUAAUGUAAAAUUUAUGAUAGCUUUUUUUAUAUUAAUAAUAGAAUAUAUAAUUUAAAGUUGUGAUUCUUGCCUUAGGCCAAUACAUCUAUUAGUUUUCUUCCCUUGCGAUUAUACAAUUGAGAUGAAAAAAAUGAAAACGGCUUAAGAUACACUAUUUUAUCUUUUGGCACAACACCCCGAAAAUAGAAUUCAUUCAUAUGUGUAUGAUUUUGUCAAAUUACUUAUGGUAAAAGAUAACUUUUAACAAGCCGAUAAUAAAAUGAGGGCAGGUAGUAAAUGUAGUGUUAGACUAAAAUAUUAUUUUUGUUUUCUGCAUUCUUGUUGAUAGUUUCAGUAGCCUACGUACAACAUUGUUCAAUUAUUAAUCAUUAGAAUUAGUUGUAGGAAUGUUUUGAUUUCGUUUCACUUCCAGCUCACUUUCGGUCGUUGAUGUCAUUCAUUCUUAUCGAAUUCAUUUCUUUCUUUUUGCGAAUUCCGAUCUCACUCUUUGAUUUAUAAUUUUUGUUACUUUGUCAAUUUUAUCUUAAUAUAUAUGUUAAUAGUUUUAUAUUCUUAAUACUAAAAAGUGUUUGCAAGUAGACAUGUGCUAAGCUAGAGAGAUUCAAAUAAAAAUAAAAAUGAAAUUUGAUAUGUCCAGCGUGAGACGUAUUUUGAUUAAUAGCGAUUUAAACACAUACAAAGGAAAUAUUUGGGUUUUCAGUGAUUUUGCAUAUUUAGUAACAUAUCGCAAUGUUAAUGUUAAUUUUGAAAUCAAAAUACCAUUCUAGCUCUAAAUAUUAUAUCACAUUUAAUCUGGCAUUUCUCUGAAUUUUGCUUUGAAAUGUAGAAAUGGUUAUUUUGAAACUGAUAAAUGAUUGUUCUAUUCAUUUUAAUAAAAUCAUCUUCAUCUUAA